CCACAUGAUUUCACAAUCACUGUCCCCUGAAGUUUCCUAAUGACACUUGGUCUACUUCAAGAACCAAGUCCAGUAAUACUUCCUUUCUUGUUGGAUUGGAAUUGGUUUCAAAAUUAUUUGAAUUACAAUAAUUAACCUCCUUUGAUGCCUUCAUACAGGUGAAUAGUUAAUGGAUUGUAACUGAGCAAUGCCUUCCCUUUAAAGAAACAACAGAAGUGAAGUAAAAGUACAUUCCCACAUGGAGUAAAGCUGGAAGGAAAAUCUAGCAACAGCAGACCAGUCGCUUAACCUCAGUGUCGCAUGGUAUCUCUGCUUUGUGAAUCAAAGAUGAACUAACCCUCAGACAGCGGCAGCAGGGCCACGGAAUAUUUUUAAAGUGGAGUUUUCCUUGAGGACUCCUCCUGUGCUUGAUAGCAUUCCCCAGUGAUAACCUAUUCCCCACGUAUUUUGGUGGAAUGCUGCUCUGUA